rnacentral:rRNA from 1 species
AUUGAACGCUGGCGGCAUGCUUUACACAUGCAAGUCGAGCGGCAGCGCGGGGGCAACCCUGGCGGCGAGCGGCGAACGGGUGAGUAAUGCAUCGGAACGUACCCUGGAGUGGGGGAUAACGCCGCGAAAGCGGCGCUAAUACCGCAUAUGCUCUGAGGAGGAAAGUGGGGGACCGCAAGGCCUCACGCUCUGGGAGCGGCCGAUGUCCGAUUAGCUAGUUGGUGAGGUAAAGGCUUACCAAGGCGACGAUCGGUAGCUGGUCUGAGAGGAUGAUCAGCCACACUGGGACUGAGACACGGCCCAGACUCCUACGGGAGGCAGCAGUGGGGAAUUUUGGACAAUGGGGGCAACCCUGAUCCAGCCAUGCCGCGUGAGUGAAGAAGGCCUUCGGGUUGU